UACAGAGGGGGCAAGCGUUGUUCGGAAUUACUGGGCGUAAAGGGCGCGUAGGCGGCCUUCUAAGUCGAACGUGAAAUCCCUGGGCUCAACCCAGGAACUGCGUCCGAUACUGGAAGGCUUGAAUCCGGGAGAGGGAUGCGGAAUUCCAGGUGUAGCGGUGAAAUGCGUAGAUAUCUGGAGGAGCACCGGUGGCGAAGGCGGCAUCCUGGACCGGUAUUGACGCUGAGGCGCGAAAGCCAGGGGAGCAAACAGG
rnacentral:rRNA from 1 species